GACGAACGCUGGCGGCGUGCUUAACACAUGCAAGUCGAACGGAAAGGCCCCUUUGGGGGUCCUCGAGUGGCGAACGGGUGAGUAACACGUGAGUAACCUGCCCUUGACUUGGGGAUAACUUCAGGAAACUGGGGCUAAUACCGGAUAGGAAUCCUUGCUGCAUGGUGGGGGUUGGAAAGCUUCGGCGGUUUUGGAUGGACUCGCGGCUUAUCAGCUUGUUGGUGGGGUAGUGGCUUACCAAGGCUUUGACGGGUAGCCGGCCUGAGAGGGCGACCGGCCACAUUGGGACUGAGAUACGGCCCAGACUCCUACGGGAGGCAGCAGUGGGGAAUAUUGCACAAUGGGCGGAAGCCUGAUGCAGCAACGCCGCGUGCGGGAUGACGGCCUUCGGGUUGUAAACCGCUUUCAGCAGGGGCGAAGCUUGUGGUGACGGUACCUGCAGAAGAAGCACCGGCUAACUACGUG
rnacentral:rRNA from 1 species